ensembl:misc_RNA Metazoa_SRP Metazoan signal recognition particle RNA
GCUGGGAGUGGUGGCUCACGCCUGUAAUCCCAGCACUUUGGGAGGCCGAGAUGGGUGGAUCACCUGAGGUCAGGAGUUCGAGACCAGCCUGACCAACAUGGAGAAACCCCAUCUCUA